ensembl:lncRNA
UAUAUAUAUAUAUAUAUAUAUAAUCUUGGUCCACAUCGAAAGGCUAGUGGAAUGGCUUCCAUGGCAUAUGUUUUGAGGUUAACUGUAUUGAUUAUGGUAAUCAUAGUUUAUUUUCAGCCACAAUUUCAUUUUUUUUUUUUUUGUAACGAGAUAUAUGUGACCGGUUCACCGGUUUGUGCGCCUCACCGAUCUGAUCCAAAUGCCGAUUUUUUUUGUAUUGCUUGGCUGGUUUAAUUUCUUGGUAAUAACCCCAAAAAAUCCAUACCGCGCACAGAGCAUGUAGAGCAGUGCCGCUACUCACAGGGAGAACUGACAGGGGGUGUCAGGGCAAACACGAAGGUCAAGGCAUAUGUAAAUAAGGCAAAAUGGUCAGCACCGUGCAGAAAGUAUAAUUCAUCUGUUGGUCAUGUGACAUAAUGCAAAAUCCCAUGUUUUGUAUUGUACUAAGACGUGCAAUGCAGUUCAGCGUGCCAAAAUAUCAGCUUGUUCCAUUCUCCAACUUCCAUAAUGAAAAUUGCACAAGGAAGCCGAAAGCCGGAGAGACAGACAGCUCGCCUUUAAAGUAAAAGUCACGCGUUUGGGAGGAGAACUAAGAACAACUAAAUAAAUAGAUACCUGUCCAACAGUGUCGCUACUGCUUCAGGACAUAACCAGCGCUAGCAAUACUAUUUGGUUUGUAAACUAGCUAGCUGUCGCGUCUACUAUUAUAUUGCAAUUCUCUGGAUACAUAUAAGUCACAUGACACCAAGGCCCGGAAAUAAACUGUUUGGUAGAAUGGGUUGAACCAGGUUGAACAUCAUAGAAAUAUGGGGGCGGAAACGAAGCAAGGAGCCCUCUGCUCCCCACAGUCAGUCAAAAACGCGAAGGAGACCUUUAUUUAGUUUGGGGUCUACAAUAAACUGUUCCAAUUUCACAGUUGUCAGUAAUUCACCACGCGAUUUUGUAAAAACUGCUAUUGGACCCUCAUGCCAAAUGGAUAAAGACAGGCUUGCAGCAAGCCGUGGUCCGUGCUCUUGGUUGGAGAUGCACCAGUUCAUUGGAGACCUCAUGGCCUCUAGCACAUCGGCUCCUAGCUCUUCACCCGGUCAUCAACAAGGAAAAGACAGCAAUCAACAAGAGGCUCUGCGCUCUUCUUGGGAAACAGCGGGUCAUGAGGC